AACGAACGCUGGCGGCGUGCUUAACACAUGCAAGUCGAACGCGAAAGGGACUUCGGUCCUGAGUAAAGUGGCGCACGGGUGAGUAACGCGUAGAUAACCUGUCUUCAUGUCUGGAAUAAUACGCCGAAAGGGGUACUAAUACCGGAUAUUCUUGCUUUUCAUAAGUUAUGCAAGCAAAGGUGGCCUCUGCAUAUGCUACUGCAUGAAGAGGGGUCUGCGUACCAUUAGCUAGUAGGUGGGGUAAUGGCCUACCUAGGCGACGAUGGUUAGCGGGUCUGAGAGGAUGAUCCGCCACACUGGCACUGGAACACGGGCCAGACUCCUACGGGAGGCAGCAGUGAGGAAUAUUGCGCAAUGGGGAAACCCUGACGCAGCGACGCCGCGUGAGUGAGGAAAGGCCUUCGGGUCGUAAAGCUCUGUCAAGAGGAAAGAAGUGUACAAUGGCUAAUACCUGUUGUAUUUGACGGUACCUCUAAAGGAAGCACCGGCUAACUCCGUGCCAGCAGCAGC
rnacentral:rRNA from 1 species